GCGGAUGUGGCGGAAUUGGCAGACGCGUUAGAUUCAGGUUCUAAUGGAGGCAACUCCGUGCAGGUUCAAGUCCUGUUAUCCGCACCA
rnacentral:tRNA from 1 species